GGCGGCGGCGGCGGCCAAUGGGACGCGGCGGAGCUGGUGACGGAGGGAGGGCGAGACGAACGGCGACAGAAGUGGCGGCGAGAGGGUUUUGUGCGGAGGAGAGAGGUUAAGAUUUUGAAAUGAAUACAAACAAAGCCUUGACUAAACAUUGUGACCCGAACCAGCAACCCCCAACUCCAAGUCUAACAAAAAGAAAACGAGCACAAGAAAAGAAAUUUUUCAGAAGUCCAACGGACAGCAUGUUAUCUCCAUGCUCACAAAGACUGAUGAAACCCAAGCAUGCCAGUCCUACAGAGCUUCAAAACAGCAAGAUUACUGCCCAACAAGCUCAUGAAUUGACUCUCGACGACAAAGAAAAUAACAUCAAUACUCAGGAGCAGAGACUUUCUUUUGGAAGAAAUGACAAUUAACUUGAUUUUCUUUUGGGGGGGGGAAUGAAAUAAAAUGUACAGUGUUUUUAGUGCUCUGUACAGAGGAAGAAUCUAUAAUCUCUCUUUAAAUUUGCAUUUGCACCUCUUUGGGACUAUAUACACUACACUGGAUGUUUUUAUUAGGUAAAAAUUAUCAGAAGAUUGUGGGAUAAGAACAAACGUUGCACUUUCACUUUGUCAUUUAAUGUACAGUUUUCAAUCAAUCAAAAAUAAAUGUCACUUUAUAUCUGGUUACUUCCUAUUUAAGAGCCUGAAUAAAAUUUUCAGCAUUGUUACUAUGUCAUGUUAAAUAUGUGAAUUUAUUUUAAUCCUGCAGUGGUAAGUGGAGAUUAAAUAUUUUCACAUGUUUCCAUAUAAAACUUAUACUUAAUUCAUUAAACAUCCCAAGGUGCUUCACAGGAGCCAAUCGAUGCUUGUGGAGUGGAGGUGGGGGGAGAAUUUCAUGUACCAUAGGGAUUUUGGAGUCUUAGUGACACAUUAGGGUUUGGUUGAAUGGGUGUCAAAUUAUUAGACUUUGUCACACAAGCCUGACCACUUGAAGUUUAAUGUGGAAUACAAGCAGCUGAGUUUUGGGUAACUGAGUUUAAAGAAGGUGGCAGUGGAAAUGUCAACUCUGGAGGUAAUUAAGAUCCUGAGGAUUUUAACAACUGAUGAUCUAAAGUAGUGCAUUAAUAGAGAGUUACCUUGCAAGAGAAGCUCAGCUUGGAAUCAGAUGCAGCUUGUUGCAUCCAGCCCAGUUCACCCUCCACUGGUCAAGAACAAGGUGAAGUUUGUGGUGAUGGAUGUUGAUGGCAACAGACAUUUUAAUAGGAGGAAAUGUCUGCAACUCUGUUGGAUAUUGAACAAGCGACAGAUCUGAGAGGGUACAGAGAUCAUAUAAGAUGGACCAGGGUGGUAUUACCAUCCAUAGAUUUGGAUUUUUUCUCUCUCAUACUGUCAAAGAAAAACAAGCAAUCGAAUGGAGGCAUAAAAAUUCCCCAAAAUAUUGAAAAUUCCCCAAAAUAUUGAAAAAUGGAUUUGUAUAAAGAGUUAGUGUACAGUGCAAUUUUAAGCUCUAUAUAAGAAGAAUGUUCCAAAAGCAAGAUGUAGAUGAAGCAUUUUUUUAAAUACAGAGAAAAUGGGGAGGAAAAACAACUGGUAGGUUCUAGCUGAAAUGUCGUCCAACUUGUGUUGCCUAAUCUCAGACUUCCAGUAUUUUAAUUGUAGUUUUUCCAGUCCCUGCAAUAUUUCGCUUGUAUAAAGGGAGGGAUUUGGAAUGAAUCAGGAAAAAUAUUUUUCUAUUAGCUGUGCAAUGCCCUAAUGGUUCCAUAGCAAUUCAAGAACAAAAGUCAUCUCAAACUCUCACUUGUUUCACAGAUCAUACCAGAUCUGUAGCUAUUCCAGUUUUCCAGUUCCUUGCCUUGAUGUUUGUAUCCCUUAAUGGCUUUGUUUAACAUGCAUUAUUUUUGGAUGUGAAAAUUGUAAUUAACUCUUCUGUACUAUGGGGACUAUCUCAGAUUUUCAUUAUGUCUAUUCAAGAUAGUUUGGCUCCAAUUUUAUCACUUUCUUUUUCCACCUUUUUUUAAAAAUGAAUUGUCCUGUUUCAGAGGUUGAGCAUGAGUUUGUGAUGCUAUGAAAGGUCAUCAGAUUUUGGUCUUUAAUUUUGAUAUCUGAAAUUGAUAACAGGACAGUAGAACACGAGCAGGCCCUUCAGCCCACUAUGUCUGUGCUGACCUUGACAAUUUAAACUGCACCUAGUCUAUAUACCAGAGAUUCCCAGGAGUCAGUGAAGUGAAACAAAUUUGAUCUUUACCAUUUGUAAAUAAUGAAGGGCCAAAGAAUAAUCAACUUUCCAUUCUUAAAAAUGACUUCAUAAGGUCCUUGAUCAACCAGUGUUGUCUUUUUUAUCUCUCUUAUUUUUGCAGUUGGGAGACAUUCCUUUUACACAAAAUGUAAUGCAGAUAUUUGUUUGGUGUUUUAAUACCACAACUCUUUCCUAUAGCCCUGCAAAUGUUUUUCCCUCCCAAGUAUCCCAUUUGUUUUUCAAAGUUAUUGAAUCACAAUGUGCUUUUUAAAUGUCCAUAGUUACACAUGGUUAUUUUUGCUAAUUUCUUUAAAUCUGUGCUCUUUAACUUCAGAUUUUCAGUGUAAUUGAAUCUAUCAUCUUUCGUACAUUCAAGCAAAUCAUCUCUGAACUUCCAAGGCCUUGGCAUCCCUUUCAUGAAGUACAGUGCCUAGAAAGGAACACAAUACUCCAACUGGGAUCUCAUAAUUUAGCACCACCUUUGUGGUGCAAAUGCUAUCUUCCUACUCAAAUCUGCAGUUAUGUUACACUAUUAACAACAGUGGAAAAGGGAAGCUACUAACUUGCCAUGUGUACUGGA